AACGGCGAGUGAAGCGGUAACAGCUCAAAUUUGAAAUCUGGCCUCACGGCCCGAGUUGUAAUUUGUAGAGGAUGCUUCGAGCAUGGUCCGGCCUAAGUUCCUUGGAACAGGACGUCAUAGAGGGUGAGAAUCCCGUAUGCGGCUGGGUGCCUACGCUCAUGUGAAGCUCCUUCGACGAGUCGAGUUGUUUGGGAAUGCAGCUCAAAAUGGGUGGUAAAUUUCAUCUAAAGCUAAAUAUUGGCCAGAGACCGAUAGCGCACAAGUAGAGUGAUCGAAAGAUGAAAAGCACUUUGGAAAGAGAGUUAAACAGUACGUGAAAUUGUUGAAAGGGAAGCGCUUGCAACCAGACUUGCGCGCGGCCGAUCAUCCGGUGUUCUCACCGGUGCACUCGGCCGUGCUCAGGCCAGCAUCGGUUUUGGCGGCUGGAUAAAGGCCCUAGGAAUGUGGCUCCUCUCGGGGAGUGUUAUAGCCUAGGGUGCAAUGCAGCCUGCUGGGACCGAGGACCGCGCUUCGGCUAGGAUGCUGGCGUAAUGGUUGUAAGCGGCCCGUCUUGAAACACGGACCAAGGAGUCUAACAUCUAUGCGAGUGUUUGGGUGUCAAACCCAUACGCGUAAUGAAAGUGAACGGAGGUGAGAACCCUUAAGGGGUGCAUCAUCGACCGAUCCUGAUGUCCUCGGAAGGAUUUGAGUAAGAGCAUAGCUGUUGGGACCCGAAAGAUGGUGAACUAUGCCUGAAUAGGGUGAAGCCAGAGGAAACUCUGGUGGAGGCUCGCAGCGGUUCUGACGUGCAAAUCGAUCGUCAAAUUU
rnacentral:rRNA from 1 species